rnacentral:rRNA from 1 species
AACGAUGAAGCACUCUGCUUGCAGAGUGCGGAAGAGUGGCGAACGGGUGAGUAACACGUGGGGAACCUGCCCAUAAGAGGGGGAUAACAUCCGGAAACGGGUGCUAAUACCGCAUAGGUGAUCAUAGCGCAUGCUUAGAUCAUUAAAGAUGGCUUCGGCUAUCGCUUAUGGAUGGCCCCGCGGCGUAUUAGCUAGUUGGUAAGGUAAUGGCUUACCAAGGCAGUGAUACGUAGCCGACCUGAGAGGGUGAUCGGCCACACUGGGACUGAGACACGGCCCAGACUCCUACGGGAGGCAGCAGUAGGGAAUCUUCCACAAUGGGCGAAAGCCUGAUGGAGCAAUGCCGCGUGAGUGAAGAAGGUCUUCGGAUCGUAAAGCUCUGUUGUUAGAGAAGAACAAGAGGUGUAGUAACUGGCACCUCCUUGACGGUAUCUAACCAGAAAGUCACGGCUAACUACGUGCCAGCAGCCGCGGUAAUACGUAGGUGACAAGCGUUGUCCGGAUUUAUUGGGCGUAAAGCGAGCGCAGGCGGUCUUUUAAGUCUGAUGUGAAAGCCCACGGCUCAACCGUGGAUGGUCAUUGGAAACUGGAAGACUUGAAUGCAGAAGAGGAAAGUGGAAUUCCAUGUGUAGCGGUGAAAUGCGUAGAUAUAUGGAGGAACACCAGUGGCGAAGGCGACUUUCUGGUCUGUAAUUGACGCUGAGGCUCGAAAGCGUGGGGAGCGAACAGGAUUAGAUACCCUGGUAGUCCACGCCGUAAACGAUGAGUGCUAAGUGUUGGAGGGUUUCCGCCCUUCAGUGCUGGAGCUAACGCAUUAAGCACUCCGCCUGGGGAGUACGGCCGCAAGGCUGA